AUGACAUGGGCUUUCUCCCAGAUGGUUGAAUUCUUUCAGGCUUACAAAGAAGAUGGAACUCGGAUCCUGGAUAUCCUUCUCUGUGAACAUGUUCGGUGUGUCUGCGAAUCUGACGUGUGGUGGGCCCGUGGCGUGGCUCGUCGGGGCUGUGCUGGUGGUGGCUCUCAUUUUUGGCUUCACCUAUUGUUCCAUAAAGCAGGUGAAGACAAAGGAGCUGUUUAAAAUAAAUUGAUAGAAAUCCUGUCCA
rnacentral:lncRNA from 1 species